AUUGAACGCUGGCGGAAUGCUUUACACAUGCAAGUCGAACGGCAGCACGGACUUCGGUCUGGUGGCGAGUGGCGAACGGGUGAGUAACAUAUCGGAACGUAUCCAAUAAUGGGGGAUAACUAAUCGAAAGGUUGGCUAAUACCGCAUACGCCCUACGGGGGAAAGCUAGGGACCUUCGGGCCUGGCGUUAAUGGAGCGGCCGAUAUCUGAUUAGCUAGUUGGUGAGGUAAAGGCUCACCAAGGCGACGAUCAGUAGCUGGUCUGAGAGGACGACCAGCCACACUGGAACUGAGACACGGUCCAGACUCCUACGGGAGGCAGCAGUGGGGAAUUUUGGACAAUGGGCGCAAGCCUGAUCCAGCCAUUCCGCGUGAGUGAAGAAGGCCUUCGGGUUGUAAAGCUCUUUCGCAAGGGAAGAAAACUUACCCUCUAACAUAGGGUGAGGUUGACGGUACCUUGAUAAGAAGCACCGGCUAACUACGUGCCAGCCGCCGCCGUAAGAC
rnacentral:rRNA from 1 species